rnacentral:rRNA from 1 species
GGUUAAGUUAGAAAGGGCGCACGGUGGAUGCCUUGACACUAGGAGUCGAUGAAGGACGGGACUAACGCCGAUAUGCUUCGGGGAGCUGUAAGUAAGCUUUGAUCCGAAGAUUUCCGAAUGGGGAAACCCACCAUACGUAAUGGUAUGGUAUCCUUAUCUGAAUACAUAGGGUAAGGAAGACAGACCCAGGGAACUGAAACAUCUAAGUACCUGGAGGAAGAGAAAGCAAAUGCGAUUUCCUGAGUAGCGGCGAGCGAAACGGAACAUAGCCCAAACCAAGAGGCUUGCCUCUUGGGGUUGUAGGACAUUCUAUACGGAGUUACAAAGGAACGAGGUAGACGAAGCGACCUGGAAAGGUCCGUCGUAGAGGGUAACAACCCCGUAGUCGAAACUUCGUUCUCUCUUGAAUGUAUCCUGAGUACGGCGGAACACGUGAAAUUCCGUCGGAAUCUGGGAGGACCAUCUCCCAAGGCUAAAUACUCCCUAGUGAUCGAUAGUGAACCAGUACCGUGAGGGAAAGGUGAAAAGCACCCCGGAAGGGGAGUGAAAGAGAUCCUGAAACCGUGUGCCUACAAAUAGUCAGAGCCCGUUAAUGGGUGAUGGCGUGCCUUUUGUAGAAUGAACCGGCGAGUUACGAUCCCGUGCGAGGUUAAGCUGAAGAGGCGGAGCCGCAGCGAAAGCGAGUCUGAAUAGGGCGUUUAGUACGUGGUCGUAGACCCGAAACCAGGUGAUCUACCCAUGUCCAGGGUGAAGUUCAGGUAACACUGAAUGGAGGCCCGAACCCACGCACGUUGAAAAGUGCGGGGAUGAGGUGUGGGUAGCGGAGAAAUUCCAAUCGAACCUGGAGAUAGCUGGUUCUCCCCGAAAUAGCUUUAGGGCUAGCCUUAAGUGUAAGAGUCUUGGAGGUAGAGCACUGAUUGGACUAGGGGUCCUCAUCGGAUUACCGAAUUCAGUCAAACUCCGAAUGCCAAUGACUUAUCCUUAGGAGUCAGACUGCGAGUGAUAAGAUCCGUAGUCAAAAGGGAAACAGCCCAGACCGCCAGCUAAGGUCCCAAAGUGUGUAUUAAGUGGAAAAGGAUGUGGAGUUGCUUAGACAACUAGGAUGUUGGCUUAGAAGCAGCCACCAUUUAAAGAGUGCGUAAUAGCUCACUAGUCGAGUGACUCUGCGCCGAAAAUGUACCGGGGCUAAAUACACCACCGAAGCUGCGGAUUGAUACCAAUGGUAUCAGUGGUAGGGGAGCGUUCUAAGGACAGUGAAGUCAGACCGGAAGGACUGGUGGAGUGCUUAGAAGUGAGAAUGCCGGUAUGAGUAGCGAAAGACGGGUGAGAAUCCCGUCCACCGAAUGCCUAAGGUUUCCUGAGGAAGGCUCGUCCGCUCAGGGUUAGUCAGGACCUAAGCCGAGGCCGACAGGCGUAGGCGAUGGACAACAGGUUGAUAUUCCUGUACCACCUCUUUAUCGUUUGAGCAAUGGAGGGACGCAGAAGGAUAGAAGAAGCGUGCGAUUGGUUGUGCACGUCCAAGCAGUUAGGCUGAUAAGUAGGCAAAUCCGCUUAUCGUAAAGGCUGAGCUGUGAUGGGGAAGCUCCUUAUGGAGCGAAGUCUUUGAUUCCCCGCUGCCAAGAAAAGCUUCUAGCGAGAUAAAAGGUGCCUGUACCGCAAACCGACACAGGUAGGCGAGGAGAGAAUCCUAAGGUGUGCGAGAGAACUCUGGUUAAGGAACUCGGCAAAAUGACCCCGUAACUUCGGGAGAAGGGGUGCUUUCUUAACGGAAAGCCGCAGUGAAUAGGCCCAAGCGACUGUUUAGCAAAAACACAGCUCUCUGCGAAGCCGUAAGGCGAAGUAUAGGGGGUGACACCUGCCCGGUGCUGGAAGGUUAAGGAGAGGGGUUAGCGUAAGCGAAGCUCUGAACUGAAGCCCCAGUAAACGGCGGCCGUAACUAUAACGGUCCUAAGGUAGCGAAAUUCCUUGUCGGGUAAGUUCCGACCCGCACGAAAGGUGUAACGAUUUGGGCACUGUCUCAACCAGAGACUCGGUGAAAUUAUAGUACCUGUGAAGAUGCAGGUUACCCGCGACAGGACGGAAAGACCCCGUGGAGCUUUACUGUAGCCUGAUAUUGAAUUUUGGUACAGUUUGUACAGGAUAGGCGGGAGCCUUUGAAACCGGAGCGCUAGCUUCGGUGGAGGCGCUGGUGGGAUACCGCCCUGACUGUAUUGAAAUUCUAACCUACGGGUCUUAUCGACCCGGGAGACAGUGUCAGGUGGGCAGUUUGACUGGGGCGGUCGCCUCCUAAAGUGUAACGGAGGCGCCCAAAGGUUCCCUCAGAAUGGUUGGAAAUCAUUCGUAGAGUGCAAAGGCAUAAGGGAGCUUGACUGCGAGACCUACAAGUCGAGCAGGGACGAAAGUCGGGCUUAGUGAUCCGGUGGUUCCGCAUGGAAGGGCCAUCGCUCAACGGAUAAAAGCUACCCCGGGGAUAACAGGCUUAUCUCCCCCAAGAGUCCACAUCGACGGGGAGGUUUGGCACCUCGAUGUCGGCUCAUCGCAUCCUGGGGCUGUAGUCGGUCCCAAGGGUUGGGCUGUUCGCCCAUUAAAGCGGUACGCGAGCUGGGUUCAGAACGUCGUGAGACAGUUCGGUCCCUAUCCGUCGUGGGCGUAGGAAAUUUGAGAGGAGCUGUCCUUAGUACGAGAGGACCGGGAUGGACGCACCGCUGGUGUACCAGUUGUUCUGCCAAGGGCAUAGCUGGGUAGCUAUGUGCGGAAGGGAUAAGUGCUGAAAGCAUCUAAGCAUGAAGCCCCCCUCAAGAUGAGAUUUCCCAUAGCGUAAGCUAGUAAGAUCCCUGAAAGAUGAUCAGGUUGAUAGGUUCGAGGUGGAAGCAUGGUGACAUGUGGAGCUGACGAAUACUAAUAGAUCGAGGACUUGACCAU